GAGGUUGCUCUUGCUGCGCAGAAACUUUCUAUUCCAGUCCGGGGAUAUGUAUCCUGUGUUGUCAGGUGUCCAGAGGAAGGAGAAGUCGUACGUGAUGGGGAUAGAUCAUUGCAAUUGUUGGUCUUAAACGAGGAAUUCCUAGUAAGCGCGAGUCAUCAGCUCGCGUUGACUAC
rnacentral:ncRNA from 1 species